GCUGUGAUGAGUUUGAUUGCAUUGAUCAUCGGAGAUGAUUUUUGUCCUCUAAGAAGUCCUGAGCUU
rnacentral:snoRNA from 15 species